GACGAACGCUGGCGGCGUGCUUAACACAUGCAAGUCGAGCGGUAAGGCCCUUUCGGGGGUACACGAGCGGCGAACGGGUGAGUAACACGUGGGUGACCUGCCCUUAGCUCUGGGAUAAGCCUGGGAAACUGGGUCUAAUACCGGAUAUGACUCCAUGACGCAUGUUGUGGGGUGAAAGCCUUGUGCGGCUAGGGAUGGGCCCGCGGCCUAUCAGCUUGUUGGUGGGGUNAUGGCCACCAAGGCGACGACGGGUAGCCGGCCUGAGAGGGCGACCGGCCACACUGGGACUGAGACACGGCCCAGACUCCUACGGGAGGCAGCAGUGGGGAAUCUUGCGCAAUGGGCGAAAGCCUGACGCAGCGACGCCGCGUGAGGGAUGACGGCCU
rnacentral:rRNA from 1 species